CCUACGGGUGGCAGCAGUGGGGAAUAUUGCACAAUGGGGGAAACCCUGAUGCAGCGACGCCGCGUGAGUGAAGAAGUAUCUCGGUAUGUAAAGCUCUAUCAGCAGGGGAGAAAAUGACGGUACCUGAAUAAGAAGCCCCGGCUAACUACGUGCCAGCAGCCGCGGUACUACGUAGGGGGCAAGCGUUAUCCGGAUUUACUGGGUGUAAAGGGGGCGUAGACGGUCCUGCAAGCCAGAGGUGAAAGCCCGGGGCUCAACCCCGGGACUGCAGUUGGAACUGUGAGGCUAGAGUGUAGGAGGGGCAGGCGGAAUGCCUGGUGUAGCGGUGAAAUGCGUAGAUAUUAGGAGGAACACCGGUGGCGAAGGCGGCCUGCUGGACGACGACUGACGUUGAGGCUCGAAAGCGUGGGGAGCAAACAGGAUUAGAUACCCGAGUAGUC
rnacentral:rRNA from 1 species